rnacentral:rRNA from 1 species
CACCGGCGCCACAAGUGGGGUUCAUAUUUAUUGGGUCUAAAGCAUCUGUAGCCGAUCUAACAAAUUCCUUGUGAAAUUGACAGGCUUAACCUGUCAGCGUGCAAGGGACACUAUUAGGUUAGGGACCGGGAGGAGGCAGAAGUACACUUUGGGGAGCGGUAAAAUGCAAUAAUCCUUAGUGGACUACCUGUGGCGAAGGCGUCUGCCUAGAACGGGUCUGACGGUGAGAGAUGAAAGCCAGGGGCGCAAAAGG